rnacentral:lncRNA from 1 species
CAUGUUGCUACAUUGUAGUCUUUAAUAUAAAAUACAAAGAUACUCUGCCACCCGACUGUCAUUGCUUUAAAAAUCGAAUUGUGAUGCUUCUCGAAGGGUUCAACAUUCCUUGAAUUUCUUUAGUCAGUGACAGCAAGAAAAAAAAUUGGUUUUCAGAACUAAGAGUAUAAAAGUUGGUCUCAUUCUAGAAAUCUGUCAACUUCAGGUUCAAAAGCCUGAAGAAAAAUCAAACACACAGAAGCACAAAUCAUGAGUGGGAGGUGCAAGGACAGCCAUUGCAGUAUUUCAGCAUGCACAAGGUUCAAAUCUGCUUGAAAUUUUGCAGGAUUGGAGUAAAGUUGGUGGCCUAAAUAAUUAUUUAAUACUGACACAUGAAUGAAACUGUUCAGGAUAAAGACAUCCACCUCUAACACAGAGAUGUGUUGAUGGGAUGUGCUCAUAUUCAUCUCAUUAAAUCAAGCUGUCACAUCUAGCACCACUCUUACCUAAUGAAGGAUCUGUGUUAUCUUUCCAGUGCCUGGUCUCAGAACUGAAUUGCAGCAAUCUCUUCAAAAUAUCUCAUGUGCCACAUUGUGCCGAUUGUGAAAACACACAAUAGAUAACCAGAACUGACAGGAGAUUGCAGCCAUGCAGAGAAAAGUGUGACAUACACAGUGUUUUGAAAGAGGCAUGGAGGACCAGAAGAGACAGUGAGGAAGAGCAGGGAAGGGAAGGGGAAUUGAUGUUUCUGAUGUCCCUAGCCUGACAUAAAAGAUGGAUCCCAAAGGACUGAACAAACAAACUGAACAAUCAGAGGACCUGACAAAGCAGCUGUCACUGCAGACAGAAGCCAGUGAAGGAGAAGGAGAAGUCAGUUACAGAGAGACAAGAAAUGGCGGUGAAAUGCCUUAA